GAUGAACGCUGGCGGCGUGCCUAAUACAUGCAAGUCGAGCGAACAGACGAGGAGCUUGCUCCUCUGACGUUAGCGGCGGACGGGUGAGUAACACGUGGAUGACCUACCUAUAAGACUGGGAUAACUUCGGGAAACCGGAGCUAAUACCGGAUAAUAUAUUGAACCGCAUGGUUCAAUAGUGAAAGACGGUUUUGCUGUCACUUAUAGAUGGAUCCGCGCCGCAUUAGCUAGUUGGUAAGGUAACGGCUUACCAAGGCAACGAUGCGUAGCCGACCUGAGAGGGUGGUCGGCCACACUGGAACUGGAACACGGUCCAGACUCCUACGGGAGGCAGCAGUAGGGAAUCUUCCGCAAUGGGCGAAAGCCUGACGGAGCAACGCCGCGUGAGUGAUGAAGGUCUUCGGAUCGUAAAACUCUGUUAUUAGGGAAGAACAAAUGUGUAAGUAACUAUGCACGUCUUGACGGUACCUAAUCAGAAAGCCACGGCUAACUACGUG
rnacentral:rRNA from 1 species